GCACAUCUGAUUUUUGCUUUUGUUUUCAGCACUGGCUUGAUGGUACUAAGAGCAUCAAAAAGCAAGUAAAAAUUGGUUCACCCUAUUGUCUGCAUCUUCGAGUUAAAUUUUAUUCCUCAGAACCAAAUAAUCUUCGUGAAGAGCUAACACGGUAUUUAUUUGUUCUUCAGUUAAAGCAGGAUAUUCUCAGUGGAAAAUUAGAGUGUCCCUUUGAUACAGCAGUUCAGUUGGCAGCUUAUAAUCUACAAGGUAAGCAAUUCUUACCUGUUAAGAAUAAAGCAUAGUUCUUGGGGCACCAGGAUGGCUCAGUCGGUUUCGUGUCUGCCUGCGGCUCAGGUCAUGAUCCUGGAGUCCCCGGGUCGAG